CAGUCGCCGGUAAUACAGAGGGUGCGAGCGUUAAUCGGAUUUACUGGGCGUAAAGCGUGCGUAGGCGGCUUCUUAAGUCGGAUGUGAAAUCCCUGAGCUUAACUUAGGAAUUGCAUUCGAUACUGGGAAGCUAGAGUAUGGGAGAGGAUGGUAGAAUUCCAGGUGUAGCGGUGAAAUGCGUAGAGAUCUGGAGGAAUACCGAUGGCGAAGGCAGCCAUCUGGCCUAAUACUGACGCUGAGGUACGAAAGCAUGGGGAGCAAACAGGAUUAGAUACCCGAGUAGUCCCUGUCUCUUAUACAC
rnacentral:rRNA from 1 species